rnacentral:rRNA from 1 species
UAAGGAGCUUGCUCCUUUGACGUUAGCGGCGGACGGGUGAGUAACACGUGGAUAACCUACCUAUAAGACUGGGAUAACUUCGGGAAACCGGAGCUAAUACCGGAUAACAUAUUGAACCGCAUGGUUCAAUAGUGAAAGGCGGCUUUGCUGUCACUUAUAGAUGGAUCCGCGCCGUAUUAGCUAGUUGGUAAGGUAACGGCUUACCAAGGCAACGAUACGUAGCCGACCUGAGAGGGUGAUCGGCCACACUGGAACUGAGACACGGUCCAGACUCCUACGGGAGGCAGCAGUAGGGAAUCUUCCGCAAUGGGCGAAAGCCUGACGGAGCAACGCCGCGUGAGUGAUGAAGGUCUUCGGAUCGUAAAACUCUGUUGUCAGGGAAGAACAAAUGUGUAAGUAACUGUGCACAUCUUGACGGUACCUGAUCAGAAAGCCACGGCUAACUACGUGCCAGCAGCCGCGGUAAUACG